rnacentral:rRNA from 1 species
AGAGUUUGAUCAUGGCUCAGGACGAACGCUGGCGGCGUGCUUAACACAUGCAAGUCGAACGGAAAGGCCCUUCGGGGUACUCGAGUGGCGAACGGGUGAGUAACACGUGGGUGAUCUGCCCUGCACUUUGGGAUAGGCCUGGGAAACUGGGUCUAAUACCGAAUAUGACCACGCGCUUCAUGGUGUGUGGUGGAAAGCUUUUGCGGUGUGGGAUGGGCCCGCGGCCUAUCAGCUUGUUGGUGGGGUAAUGGCCUACCAAGGCGACGACGGGUAGCCGGCCUGAGAGGGUGACCGGCCACACUGGGACUGAGAUACGGCCCAGACUCCUACGGGAGGCAGCAGUGGGGAAUAUUACACAAUGGGCGCAAGCCUGAUGCAGCGACGCCGCGUGAGGGAUGACGGCCUUCGGGUUGUAAACCUCUUUCAAUAGGGACGAAGCGCAAGUGACGGUACCUAUAGAAGAAGGACCGGCCAACUACGUGCCAGCAGCCGCGGUAAUACGUAGGGUCCGAGCGUUGUCCGGAAUUACUGGGCGUAAAGAGCUCGUAGGUGGUUUGUCGCGUUGUUCGUGAAAACUCACAGCUUAACUGUGGGCGUGCGGGCGAUACGGGCAGACUAGAGUACUGCAGGGGAGACUGGAAUUCCUGGUGUAGCGGUGGAAUGCGCAGAUAUCAGGAGGAACACCGGUGGCGAAGGCGGGUCUCUGGGCAGUAACUGACGCUGAGGAGCGAAAGCGUGGGGAGCGAACAGGAUUAGAUACCCUGGUAGUCCAA